GCCGCCUCAGGGAAGGGGAAGGAGGCCGCGGUUUCGCGUCCCGCCUCUAGCCUGGCUGGCCAUGGGGGCCUGGACGCAGUGGCCUCCCGAAUCCCCCAGGAAUCUUAAUGUCGCCAGAGGAUGCUGGGAGGAACACUGAGCCGACCUCUCCGUUAGGCUGAAGAUUGCACAAACCAUGAUAAUGGCCAGCAUGGAUGGAGGGAGCGUGUGAGAUGUGCGGGGCAGUGUGCUACGUCUCAGCCAACUCUAGGAGCCUGUUGAUGUGAUGGACUACAUUAAUUGAUUUUUGAAUGUUGAGCCAGCCUUAUGCAUGUGGGAUAGAUGCCUGUUGAUCAUGGCUGGCUGGAGUGCAGUAGUGCAAUCAUGGCUCACUGCAACCUCAAAUUCCUGGGCUCAAGGGAUCCUCCUGCCUCAGCCUCCCAAGUAGCGAGGACCACAGAUGGAACAAAGUCUGUUUGUGAAAACACCCUUCCCCUCUGUUUACUUGGACCUGAUUUUGAAAGUAGCAAGUCACUUUAUUUGGGCUGGAGGAAAAAGCACUAAACCAGAUGUUGAGGUGACCGGG
rnacentral:lncRNA from 1 species